rnacentral:ncRNA from 1 species
UAAUUUGAGAGUUUGAUCCUGGCUCAGGACGAACGCUGGCGGCGUGCCUAACACAUGCAAGUCGAGCGGUUUCAUGUUUAACACUGAAUAUUCUAACUAUGCUGGUUAUAGCCAGCGUCUUGUGAG